AUAGAAUUUGAGCGGAAUAGAAUUGAAAUUCCUAAUUUUUUGUUUGUUUGUUUGGAUGAAUGAAAUAGCAAAACUGAGACUAGAAAUUUUAUAUUUAGUUUGACAGUUAUACCCUUAUUCUUUUUAAUUAAAAUAAUGAAAAUUAAAAAAAAAAACUACUGUUCAUCUCCUUCGAUGAACAGCGGCAUAUAGCCAUGAGACGGUGAUCCCAUACCAUACAUACCACAAGGACUGAAACCGCAAGGAUCGAAACCACUCAAAUACUCAAGAUCCAGACAUGCAAGAGACCCGAGAAUCGACGAGAAUUUCUCCUGUAAUCCGAACUCACAAUCAUAAAAGAUGGAGCAGAUAACAAGAAAUUCGGGAUGCACCAGUGAAGAAAAUGAUGUCGUGAAAGCAAACUAAAAGGGUUGAAAUGAUUAUGGCAGGAGUGACGGGGAACAAUGAGUUCGGAUUCGGAUAAAAACCCUAUAUUUGACAGACCCUCCCAUGGGGGUCGAAUCUCACCCAUGCCCAUGAGCUAAUGCCACGACGAGGCCAGAUCUGGCCUCCCCAUGUCGAGACCGGUUUGGAGAGGUCGGUCGAGCAUCGAAAGUUGAGGCAAAGGUGCAACGGUGCGGUGGCGGCGAUCGGAAGCGGCGGUAGCAGGCGGCUGUUGUGGGGUUGAGAAGAGUGAUGAAAAUCGUAAAUUUAAUGAAUAGUGAAGGGCACAUUGGGUGUUUCGAGUUUUGGACUUAUUCUUGGUGGGUUAGAUUCGUUAGAAUUCGAAAUCUGACCUUUAUGGGGAAGUUCUAAAUCCGGAUCCAUACAGAAUUGGGCCGGAAUUGGAUUUCGAAUUCUGAUCCAAAUUAGAAACCAAUCGCGGGCUCUCUUAUUCUGAAGGAAUUGGGCCGGAACCGAAUCCGGAUUCCGCCCAACCAGACAUGCAAAAGGAAAUGUUUCAUGCGUCGAUCUUUCAUCGCCGCCAGCCUCUCACCGGUGUCUCCCCGUUCAUCGUCUAGCUCUCGCAUCUCUCUCUCUCUCUCGCACUGCCUUACGACUCACAUUGCUCCCUGUGAGAGCUUGCCUGAUUGAAACAAAGUCCGACUCUCACUAACAAUCAAAACUCCGUCCACGGCCACCGUCGUUUGGUGACUUCUUCUCAGCAGGUUGAUCUACAGGCAAAUUUGAAGAGAUUGAGCUUCAUAUAUGAAGGUUAAGAUGACCAGACGGCCACUGUGCGAGAGAACUCAUUCAGCAAAGCUAUAUGGGGCAGUGUGCUUUGCUUAAAUGACCAUCCAUCAAUGUGAUUUGUCGGCUGUCCACAUUUCCAAUAACUGAUCACGUCGUAGUGCUUAUACAUAUGGUUAUCUUCGAGGCGGCAGUGCUCCUGAAAAAGUACCAACCAACCUGCAUGGGUGCUUCUUUUAGAUCAUGCCUGGAAGAUUAUCGAGAACAGCAACCAUCUGAGUUGUGAAUUAGCUCAGAGCGAAUCUCCCUGCUGUGCAGCUUAUAUUCCCAUGGAAAAUCCAUACAGUAAGUUGUACAAACCUUUAUGUGUAGGACUGAAUCAGUGUUGGAGCAGUUGAGUUGCAUAGUCUUGUUUUGAGCUGCUAACAUCAGCAUGAGCUGACCACAUCAAUCAGAAAGCAUUACUACUCACGGUUCACUUAUAUCUGUGAAAUCGGACCAAAUAAUAGUCCUCUGUAUAGACAACUCCCUUUAAAGCAGAAGUUAUUCCGAAUAAGAGAUAGUAGUCUGUACAUUAAAGGUGCGUCGAUAAGUGUGAAUUGUCAAGUAUGUCAGUAGUUUGUCUAGUGGUUUCAACAGACAAUGUCUUGUAAUGACAACUAUAUGUAUAGAUGUAUCUAUUUUAUAAAAAGAAAAGUUUCUUUCGUCGGUGCUCAUUGAUUCAGCUACGAACCAAUUUCCCUAUCAGUGGCUGCACAGACUACUAACCACAUGUAUGCUUAGCAAACACCUAAAGGAAAUCAGCCACAUGUGAAGAAAUUUACUAUGUAAGCCAGUCAUAUUAUGGUUAGUAGGGGUCACUCUUAACUUAACACAUUCUUCUUCCAUAGCACUAGUGAUUGCUAUCCAAUCAAUAUGACUUCUGUUGGUGCUGCACCCGGACCUUCUUCCUCCAAGUAUCUUAUCGUGGUCCCCAAGAGGCACAAGCAUAUGGUAAUUAUAGUGCAACUUCUUUUGUCCAACAUAUGUCUUAUAUUUGGAGUAGUGGUUCUAUGAUUGCCUUAUUUGUCAUUUCAUACAUAUAUAUGUAUCGUGAACUGCCCAAACCAUUCGCAGACAGCUAUGCUGAACAUCUUAAUAAGGAGCCGAAUGACCCAGUUCCAUCGAGAUGGGUGUAUGGUGCACUUUACUUGAGUAAGGGAUAAUCAUAUGUUGUGCAAGAACUAUAGCUUCGGGAAGGUCAGCAUUGCUUCUUGAGAUAAUGGAUGGAGACUCAAUUGCACUUACGGCGUACGUUGAAAAGAUUUCAAUUGCUCGUCAAGUGAAUGCAUGUACUUCUUUAUUCCACAAUUCCUUAUUACAUAUAAGUCGAAAGCUUCGAUAAUGGAAAUGGUUACUGAUGACACAUUUUAGGUAUUUCAAUUGUUCAGAUUUCCUCGUAUCCAUCCGAUGUGUCAUCCCAUUUUGGCAAUUGUGCUAGUCAUGCUGAACAUAGCGGUAGUGGUCAGUGUCGAAGCCUUGCUCGUGAUGAGGAAGAUUCCACUGGCAUCGAACAGUAGAUUUUUUUUCGGCUAUUUUGAUGGCAGACCUUUCCUCACAUUCACCCAUGGCGCAUAUGCUCAGGCUUGGGCCUUGGCUGGGCCACUUUCACUGGGUCCACAUCGACGAUGUAUAUGGCCGAUUCAGCUUGAAGGUCAAUGUGAUGUUACAGUACAACGAUGACGAACAGUUGGCCCGAGUGGACUUUGCCGAUGGCUGGGAGAGUCGUGGUUGCGCAUGGUUAUCACUGUGGGCGUUGUAUUGAUAAGAUACCAUGGGGAAGGUAUUUUCACCAUUCAAGAUAGGAUCCUUUGAUCAUGUCUAGUCAGACCUUCUAGUUGCGAAAACCACUUCCAGGCCGGACCCGUCCCCAAUAACCCAUCACGUAUGCAUGUCUUAGGAAAAGUUCAUUCUUUGAGUUGUUGGUGUUAUUUAUGUGUUUCUGCAUGGCGUUUUAUGGACUUAUUCAAGUUGGCGGUUUGAUUCUUCAGUUUCAGUUCAGUUGAUAUAGUGUAAUGCCCACGUUUGCAAUCAUUUAUACAGAAGGCUGAGAAACAAAUUGCCAAG